AAAAUCCGUCGACUUAAUAAAUCAUGAGGGUUCAAGUC
rnacentral:tRNA from 4 species